AUAAAAGCAGGCUAAAAUCUUUCUCCUCAAUUGAAUGCUGGAAGAGUUGAAAGUGUAAACAAUAUAAUUUGCUCUUUAUAUUCCACAGUUUGAGAUAUGACGCGUAAGAUGUUCGGCUGUGUUUUGGCUCUGAUACUAGUAGCAGCAGCUGCAGCUUCAGUUACAACACAUGUUGAAGAAUCCUCCAUUUUGAAUCAGAAUUUCAGAAAUGUCAUCACCUACCCUUCUCCUUUUCGCAGCUUGAACCGUCAACAGCGUGCCGUGAAGCCUGAGCCCAAGGAAAAGCGCAAGCGCCCAAUAGUUUCAGGGUAUCCAAUUUUUUAUGGAAAUAAGGUCUUCCAAAAACCUGUUAGGAACUAGAAUGAAUUUGAAUGAAGUGUUGCCUUUAAUAUUCUUUGAAGGCAACAAUCAUAAAUAGAUCAUGAUUAAAACAUUUUUGUUGUAAUUUUUUCAUUUAAUUUAAUAAAUUAUUCGGAUUAAAAUCAA